GGCUGGAUCACCUCCUUUCUAAGGUGCUAAAAGCACAAAACAAGUAACACCACACUCGGACCUCACUAUUUAGUUUUGAGAGAGCAAGCUUGAGCAGGCCAAGGAGCUUUAUGCCUCAGUCUAAAGCCCUGAAAGUUUUAGACUGAUUUUGUUUCUCUGCGGAGGGCCUAUAGCUCAGUCUCGGUUAGAGCGCACGCCUGAUAAGCGUGAGGUCGUUGGUUCAAGUCCAACUAGGCCCACCAUUUGCACGGGGGUGUAGCUCAGCUGGAAGAGCACCUGCUUUGCACGCAGGGGGUCAUCGGUUCAAAUCCGUUCACCUCCACCAGUUUUGUAGAGGCGGGUUUAAAACUCGCCGGUACCGAAAAAUUUGCCGGGGAUGUAGCACGUUUCCGGUUGCUCUUUGACAAGUGAAUCUGGAAGAAAGAGAAGUCCUUAGGAGUUUCCCAAAGCAAGGGGUUUAUGGUCAAGCUACUAAGGGCGAUCGGUGGAUGACUAGGCGUUGAGAGGCGAUGAAGGACGUGGCUAGCUGCGUUAAGCUUCGGGGAGCCGCUAAACAGGCUAUGAGCCGGAGAUUUCCGAAUGGGGCAACCCAUCCAGGGUAAUGCUUGGAUAUCGUGCACUGAAUACAUAGGUGUACGAGGCGAACGGGGAGAAGUGAAACAUCUCAGUACCCCCAGGAAGAGAAAUCAAUUGAGAUUCCCUCAGUAGCGGCGAGCGAACGGGGAACAGCCUAAACCGUUUAUGUGUAAGCCGGCCAGCGUUGCAUAGACGGUGUUGUGGGGCCAGUUUGGAGAGGAUGGCCGUCCUCUCGGAAAGUUACCAACCGCUUAUCUAGGUGAAGGGUCUGGAAAGGCCCACCAUAGAAGGUGAUAGUCCUGUAGGCGAAAGGUAAGCGGCUUUCUGUUACUGGUUCCCAAGUACCACGGGACACGUGGAACCCCGUGGGAAUCUGGGUGGACCAUCAUCCAAGGCUAAAUACUCCUCAACGACCGAUAGUGAACUAGUACCGUGAGGGAAAGUUGAAAAGAACCGCGGGAGCGGAGUGAAAUAGAACCUGAAACCGAUCGCUUACAAGCUGUGGAAGGACGAUAGCAGGUUUCGGCCUGCUCGUCUAACUGCGUGCCUUUUGCAUAAUGAGUCAGCGACUUACUCUAAGUGGCGAGGUUAAGCCGUAAGGUGGAGCCGUAGCGAAAGCGAGUCUUAAUAGGGCGUAUUAGUCGCUUGGAGUAGACCCGAAGCCGGGUGAUCUAUCCAUGGCCAGGGUGAAGGUCGGUUAACACCGACUGGAGGCCCGAACCGGUUAACGUUGAAAAGUUAUCGGAUGAGCUGUGGAUAGGAGUGAAAGGCUAAUCAAACUCGGUGAUAGCUGGUUCUCCCCGAAAUAUAUUGAGGUAUAGCCUCGCAUGAUGAGCGUCGGAGGUAGAGCACUGGAUGGACUAGGGGUCUCACAAGAUUACCAAACCCAACCAAACUCCGAAUGCCGACGUCUUUAGUGCGGGAGUCAGACUGCGGGAGAUAAGUUCCGUAGUCGAGAGGGAAACAGCCCAGACCGCCAGCUAAGGUCCCUAAAUUCGUGCUAAGUGGGAAAGGAUGUGGAUCCGCCCAGACAACCAGGAGGUUGGCUCAGAAGCAGCCACCCUUUAAAGAAUGCGUAAUAGCUCACUGGUCGAGUGGGUCUGCGCCGAAAAUGUACCGGGGCUCAAGCACAGUACCGAAGCUGCGGAUGUAAGGUUAAUCCUUAUGUGGUAGGGGAGCGUUGUCGUAACCUGCGAAGGCGUACCGUGAGGAGCGCUGGAGGUCCGACAAGUGUUUAUGCUGACAUGAGUAACGAUAAACGGGGCGAGAAACCCCGUCGCCGUAAGCCUAAGGUUUCCUGGGUAAAGUUAAUCUUCCCAGGGUUAGUCGAUCCCUAAGCCGAGGCCGAAAGGCGUAGGUGAUGGAAAACAGGUUGAUAUUCCUGUACCACCUGAUUCGCAGUGACCGAUGGGGGGACGCAGGAGGGUAGGCCAUCCGGGUGUUGGACGUCCCGGUUCAAGCUGGUAGGGGGGAGUUCGAGGCAAAUCCCGAAUUCCUUAACCCCGAGAAGCGAUGAGGAGAGGCGAAAGCCUCGCAAACUGGUUGAUCCCACGCUGCCAAGAAAAGCCUCUAGGUAGUUAAUCAGGUGAUCGUACUGUAAACCGACACAGGUAGGCAGGGAGAAUAUCCUAAGGCGCUCGAGAGAACCCUGGUUAAGGAACUCGGCAAAAUAGCACCGUAACUUCGGGAGAAGGUGCGCCCCGGUUGGUGAUGAGACUUGCUCUCUGAGCUCGCUGGGGUUGCAGUGAAAUGGGGGUGGCGACUGUUUACUAAAAACACAGGACUCUGCGAAGUCGCAAGACGAUGUAUAGGGUCUGACGCCUGCCCGGUGCCGGAACGUUAAGGGGAGGGGUCAUCUGGGGUAACCCGGAGAAGCUCUGAACCGAAGCGCCGGUAAACGGCGGCCGUAACUAUAACGGUCCUAAGGUAGCGAAAUUCCUUGUCGGGUAAGUUCCGACCUGCACGAAUGGCGUAACGACUGCCCCGCUGUCUCGACCAGGGACUCGGUGAAAUUGUAUUCGCGGUGAAGAUGCCGUGUACCCGCACCAAGACGGAAAGACCCCGUGCACCUUUACUAUAGCUUGGCAUUGAAUUUUGGGAUAAUUUGUGUAGGAUAGGUGGGAGACGAUGAUCUCCGGAUGCUAGUUCGGAGGGAGCCAACCUUGAAAUACCACCCUGAUUAUUCCAGACUUCUAACCCAGACCCGUAAUCCGGGUCGGGGACACUGCCUGGUGGGUAGUUUGACUGGGGCGGUCGCCUCCUAAAGAGUAACGGAGGCGCG
rnacentral:misc_RNA from 1 species